rnacentral:tRNA from 1 species
AGCGUAGUAGCACAAUGGUUAGUGCAUCCCCCUUAUAAGAGGAAGACGCGAGGUCAGUACUCGACUACGCUACCA